UACGGUGGGUGCAAGCGUUAUCCGGAUUUACUGGGUUUAAAGGGUGUGUAGGCGGACUUUUAAGUCAGCGGUGAAAUCUCCGGGCUCAACCCGGAAACUGCCAUUGAUACUAUUAGUCUUGAAUGUUGUUGAGGUGGGCGGAACGGGUCAUGUAGCGGUGAAAUGCAUAGAUAUGACCCGGAACACCGAUUGCGAAGGCAGCCCACUAAGCAACUAUUGACGCUGAGGCACGAAAGCGUGGGGAUCAAACAGG
rnacentral:rRNA from 1 species